rnacentral:rRNA from 1 species
GACGUAGGGGGCCAGCGUUGCUCGGAAUUACUGGGUGUAAAGGGUUCGUAGGCGGUGUGGCAAGUCGGGAGUGAAAUCUCUGGGCUCAACCCAGAGGCUGCUUCCGAAACUGCCGUGCUUGAGUGUGGGAGAGGCGCGUGGAAUUGCAGGUGUAGCGGUGAAAUGCGUAGAUAUCUGCAGGAACACCCGUGGCGAAAGCGGCGCGCUGGACCACAACUGACGCUGAGGAACGAAAGCUAGGGGAGCAAACCGG